GCCGGGCGUGGUGGCGCGCACCUGUAGUCCCAGCUACUCGGAGGCUGAGGCGGGAGAAUGGCGUGAACCCGGGAGGUGGAGCUUGCAGUGAGCCGAUAUCGCACCACUGCACUCCAGCCUGGGCGACAGAGCCAGACUCCGUCUCAA
rnacentral:sRNA from 1 species